GGAUUAUGGUGUGCAUCUGUAGUCUCAGCUACCUGGGAGGCUGAGGAAGGAGGAUUGUUUGAGCCUAGACAUUCUGGGCUGCAGUGUGCUACAUCUAUCAGGUGUUUGCACUAAGUUUAGCAUCAAUAUGGUUCCCUCCCAGGAGUACGGGAUCACCAGGUAACUAAGGAGGUGUGAACUGGUCCAGGUUGGAAAUAGUGCAGGUCAAAACUCCCAUGCUGAUCAGUAGCAGGAUUGAGUCUGUGAAUAGCCACUGCACUCCAACAUGGGCAAUAUAGCAAAACACUGUCUCU
rnacentral:SRP_RNA from 1 species